rnacentral:tRNA from 1 species
GCGCUCGUAGCUCAGUGGUAGAGCAAUCGACUUUUAAUCGAUGGGUCGAAGGUUCAAAUCCUUCCGGGCGCACCA